UGAUUGGUGCUUGCAUCAUGAUUUACAUUUGAGUGAGUGGCGAACUGGUGAGUAACACGUGGGAAACCUGCCCAGAAGCGGGGGAUAACACCUGGAAACAGAUGCUAAUACCGCAUAACAACUUGGACCGCAUGGUCCGAGCUUGAAAGAUGGCUUCGGCUAUCACUUUUGGAUGGUCCCGCGGCGUAUUAGCUAGAUGGUGGGGUAACGGCUCACCAUGGCAAUGAUACGUAGCCGACCUGAGAGGGUAAUCGGCCACAUUGGGACUGAGACACGGCCCAAACUCCUACGGGAGGCAGCAGUAGGGAAUCUUCCACAAUGGACGAAAGUCUGAUGGAGCAACGCCGCGUGAGUGAAGAAGGGUUUCGGCUCGUAAAACUCUGUUGUUAAAGAAGAACAUAUCUGAGAGUAACUGUUCAGGUAUUGACGGUAUUUAACCAGAAAGCCACGGCUAACUACGUGCCAGCAGCCGCGGUAAUACGUAGGUGGCAAGCGUUGUCCGGAUUUAUUGGGCGUAAAGCGAGCGCAGGCGGUUUUUUAAGUCUGAUGUGAAAGCCUUCGGCUCAACCGAAGAAGUGCAUCGGAAACUGGGAAACUUGAGUGCAGAAGAGGACAGUGGAACUCCAUGUGUAGCGGUGAAAUGCGUAGAUAUAUGGAAGAACACCAGUGGCGAAGGCGGCUGUCUGGUCUGUAACUGACGCUGAGGCUCGAAAGUAUGGGUAGCAAACAGGAUUAGAUACCCUGGUAGUCCAUACCGUAAACGAUGAAUGCUAAGUGUUGGAGGGUUUCCGCCCUUCAGUGCUGCAGCUAACGCAUUAAGCAUUCCGCCUGGGGAGUACGGCCGCAAGGCUGAAACUCAAAGGAAUUGACGGGGGCCCGCACAAGCGGUGGAGCAUGUGGUUUAAUUCGAAGCUACGCGAAGAACCUUACCAGGUCUUGACAUACUAUGCAAAUCUAAGAGAUUAGACGUUCCCUUCGGGGACAUGGAUACAGGUGGUGCAUGGUUGUCGUCAGCUCGUGUCGUGAGAUGUUGGGUUAAGUCCCGCAACGAGCGCAACCCUUAUUAUCAGUUGCCAGCAUUAAGUUGGGCACUCUGGUGAGACUGCCGGUGACAAACCGGAGGAAGGUGGGGAUGACGUCAAAUCAUCAUGCCCCUUAUGACCUGGGCUACACACGUGCUACAAUGGAUGGUACAACGAGUUGCGAACUCGCGAGAGUAAGCUAAUCUCUUAAAGCCAUUCUCAGUUCGGAUUGUAGGCUGCAACUCGCCUACAUGAAGUCGGAAUCGCUAGUAAUCGCGGAUCAGCAUGCCGCGGUGAAUACGUUCCCGGGCCUUGUACACACCGCCCGUCACACCAUGAGAGUUUGUAACACCCAAAGUCGGUGGGG
rnacentral:rRNA from 2 species